CGCCUCCCAGGCUCCAUCGAUCUUCCCACCUCAGCCUCCCAAAGCUUAUAUGGGAAUAUGAAUUUAUAUGUGAAAAUAGAAGAUGUCAACACUCACAUCACUGACUGUGUCAGUGACUGCUCGGUGGUGGAAAUGCUCUGGACGAUCAGGAAUGGACCUCCAGAUACCCAACUGGCUCAUGUAGUUCUCCUUGUAUUUUAUCUGUUAUAAAAAACACAAAGACAGCUGUAAGUCUUACCCAAAGUUAAUGUAAAUAUGGCUUCUUUCUGGAGAAUUUCAGAAGAGGGAGGUUGCUAAAAAAUAUAUGUAUAUGUAUAUGGUGAGUUGUAGAGCCCAACACAAGUAGAAAUAUUUAGGGACAUACUUUACUGAUGUCAUCUGUGACUUUGCGAUGAUAGACAAUGUCUAGGGCAUCUUUCACCGUGUGGUAUUUCCCUUUGGUCUUUUGAAAUGUUUCUUUGUAGCGUAGCUAGAAAGAGAAAAAACACAUGAAUUACAAAAAAACUACCAAGUUAAAUAAUUGAGCUCUUUUAAGCAUGAACUCUCUUGUCUUCUCUCUGGUUUUCCCAUGAAUACAUUUAGGAAAAAUUUAAAAGCUUAUUUCAGACCCUAGAAGAGAAAAAGAACACUAGGGAAAACUAAUGAAAUCCAAAGCAACUAUGGAGUUUAACCGAUCAUAAUGUAUCAAUCUUGGUUCACUGAUCAUGGCAAAUCUACGAUGGUGAUACAGGUGUUAGCAACAGGAGGAUAUGGGUGUUCCCCUGGGUGUGGGGCAUGUGAUAACUCUGUACAAUUUCGGUAAAUCUAAGACUACUUAAAAUAGAAAGUUUAUUUAAAUAUAAAACAUAAACCAAAAGUUCAUUUGAGAGAAAAAAAAAACCCAAACAAACAACAUUGUUGAGCCCAAGAUAUGCUAAUGUACAUGGAAAAGGGAAAAAGGUUUAGCUUCUAACUCCUAGUAUUAAAAUGCCUUCUUCACUAAGCAGUCUUAAAACUUCAUUUCAUUAUAAUCUUUAUCUUUGUGAUAUUUCAAGAGAAAACAGCUCUGAUUCUAACCUGAGAAUAUCAUAGAUGAUUCAUCUAAUCUACACAAGAUGGGUGCUUCUCUGCACAACCUAUUUUCAACGUCAAACAGUUCUUUUCUUUUGGGGUUAACUGAGCAAACACACAGUGAAAGAUGUCUUUUCUUUGACUUUGUAAUUUUGUUUUUUAGAUGGAUCAUAAGAUUGCUUAGAUCUACUUGUGGGGCUAGCCAUGGUUAAUACUGAAUUAAAUGCCAGAUACUACCCUUGUUACAUUAGACUAUUGUAAAGAUUAGAGUUAUCAGAAUUGCUACUGAUAAAGCCCUAGGGAUGGUGCUGUCCAGUGGGGCAUGAUGAAUCCCAGGGCCAAUUUCAAUGUGUGGCCACCGCUGUAAGAUAUUAAUUCAGCUUGGUUCAAAUAAAUAUUCAACAGUAACUUUGAAGUGAUAAUGAUGAAGGAUGUCACAAGAAGACUAAAAAUAUCCUAGAAGGUAGAUUUUGAGGGGAGUAUAUGAUUUUUUCCCAGCUUACAUUUUAAGCACUAACUGGCAUUGCCUUUUUCUAACUAGUAGGCUCUUCUCUUCUCCAAAUAAAAAUUCCUAACAAAAUUAUGGAACUGAGAUAUUGUUCACAUUUGCUGUGCCUUCUCUUUUCUGCCUCGGGCUUACUGCAAUUACCUUAAGAUGCCUUGAAAUCCUAGAGCUAUGUUGCUAAGUUGAGGGGGUCAUGAAGUUGGCUUGAUUUUUGGCUCAGUUUAAGUCCCAACAUGUCUAGUCCUCUAGGGGUGUGGCUCUGGUAAUGGGUACAGUGAAUUCCUGGUUGGACCCUGAGACACAAAACCCGUAAGGAUUGGCUAUUUACCUUGGAUUCACUACUUCACAUCUUCAUUAACAGAUUAUUAACAGAUUAUUACCAUUAAAAGGCAGCCUUGCCCUCGAUUGUGUGAUAUGGAAAAUGAACAUCUGUCCCCCCUAAUUUUAACCACUGUGUCAUGCAUCAUUCACAUGAUCUAUAUGCAAUUAAGAGAAAAAAGGGAACAAACAUUUUCUGAGUAACUAGGAGCCCAGCAGCAUGCUAGACACUUAUACAUUAUCUUGUUUGGUUUUAUUUAAUUAUCACAAUUCUCAUUAUCAUUCCACAUAUAUGAAAAGAGACUCGGAAAAAUUAGACAGAUGAUAUAGAGUCAUACAGCAGGCAAGUAACAGCAUCAGGAUUUGAAUCCAUGUCUGGCUGACUGCAAGACCAUAAUUUUAUGGAUAAGUAAAUUAACUGUCAAGUAUCCCCAGAAAAUGCUGCUGAAGAAUUAUAAGAAAGGGUCAUAUUUUUAUUCAGGAGAGAAUUGAGAAGAAUAGGCUUCUGGUAUCUCUCAGCUAUUUUGCCUGACUAGUAUUGUUUGGGCAUUUUUUUUUCUCUUUAAAAAAAUGUGUGUUUUUUUCCUAGGCCAUGGUUUAGAACUAUGGAUAUGGCUGAAAUAUGUUAUGUUUCUUAGGUACUUCAACCUCAGCUCUCCCCAUCACAACAGAAGAAAAAAGGAAGGGAUGCAUACAUCACUGGCAUUCCAGUAAGCCCUCUUGGCUCUGAUGAGGAUUGGCGUAUCUGGAACCGGAGUGUACUUGUCUUUCAUCUUUUCAUAUUGAAUCUUGUACUUUUUCUGAGAAAUAAAUGCAGAAGAGAGAGACAAGCUUAAGUGUCUUCCCAAUUUCCAACCAAGCCACCUACAGGUCUUGUGGAGGGGCACAAUGUGUUACACACUUUAAGAGAAUAGCUCUGCCUUUUGUGUUUUGAUGAUGCUGAGCACCAUUUAUAGUAAUGAGCUCUCUGAUCAGAGGUAGCAGGGGAAGGUUUUAACAAAGUAUUUUUCUUUUUACCCAGUGCCUCAGUGCUGAAUUCCCAUCUUACCUCACUGACCAUGUCCUUCACGUCUUUAGCAUGCUUCAAGGCUGUGGUCUGGUUUCCAGCGUGAUGAUGGGGUCUCUCUUUGGUGGCAAGUUCAACAUACAGAUACUGAAUAAUAGAAGAAAGUGAGGUGUCAUAGAGAUAAAGCAUUUAGUAUUUAGCAUUCAGUCCACUUCAUUCAUUUCUAACCAUUCAGUGGGAAGGUGGUAUCUGCUUACUGUCCUGAUGUUUGUUUGCUUGUUUUUUUGUUAUAUGCGUUUCUGUUCAUUUGUUUCUCUGUGUCUCAUAUUUGAAAACAAAUACACAUACUCCAGUUAUCUAAUAUGCCUACCACUGAGUAUGAUCCAAGCAAAGCCAUGUGAUAAAGAAUGCUAACAGAAGUAUGAGAAGAUUCUGAUAGACCCCUCAACAUAUUUUCCCCUGAUUUUUGCGUGACUGCAUGAAAUACAGCUUCGUUUGUCUGCGGAUAACAGGAAGAUUCUAUAGAAUGAUCAAGCAAUUAUUUUCAUUACUCCAAAACACAAGUUUUAUAACACUUAGGAAAGAAGAUGUGGCAUCCCUUACCUGAGUAAAACACAACCAUAAUUAUCAUGGCCCAAAAGAGAACUGCUUCUUCAAGUGCAGUGUUAAUGGGCAUGAGGUUGCAGCCAGGACAACCAAGUGUGUGAGUCUGCCACUGGCCAGGUGAGGCCAGGCACAUAUAAUCACCCCCUGUGAUGCCUGAGUGGCAGGCUUAUGAACCUCUGAGCUUACCUGACUCUGAAGCUUCUGCCCUCGCUUGGCUCUUAAAAGAUCAGGAGUAUCAGGAACUGAAGUAAAGAUUGACUUCUGCUUCUUGCCUGCAGCUCUGUAGACCAGCUAGACAUAAACCAAGUUAUCACCAUCAUUUCUGUUUCAUGGGCAUGUUAUGUUCUCUGCAGAUGCCUUCACUGCUUUUACAUAGAAAAGGCAGGAGCCCUCCCACUGCAACGAUUGCAGUUUCUUCCCAAUAAACCAACCUUUUAUUUACCUCCUGCACCCUCCUUUUCUUUUUUCCCUUGUGUCAAAACAAGAGACAUUCUCUAGCCUGUCCAAAAUUCAAGACUCCUGCUGUGUUCUUGGUCCCAUUUGCAGUUGUCCCUUCUAGUACCCUAUUCCAGCAACUGUCUCCAUCUCCUCUGUAUCUUCCACCCUUCCUGUUUUCCCAAUCCCCUCUUUUCACCUGCAAACAGACUCAAGACCUCCUGUCAUUAAUUAAGCCUUUUCCAGUCUCUAGCCAAUGGCCUUCAUUCUUCUUUUCUCAGCCAAGUUGCCUGUGUUUCUUCUUUGCCUCUCUUUUGAUUAAUUUCUCAAGACCAUAGUUUGGCUCCCACCUACCCACAUCAGUGAAGUCACACUCAUUGAGACUACCAAGAACUUCAUGAUUGCCAUGAACACUUCUCUGUAGCAACUGAAGCUGCUCAGUGUUUCAUUCCUGAAAACUCUCUUCUCUGGCUUCCAUUCAACCAUUCUUCCCUAGGUGGCUUCCUGUCUUUUAGACCUCCUCAUCAGCCUUCCUCUGGUUCUGCCCUCAUGCAAAGGCUGCUGUUAACUGGGGUGAAGGAUUGGCCCCUUUCACCCAGUACAUUCUCCCGGGGUGAUCUCAUCUGUACCUGUGAUCUCAAGCAUCACUUUGAGAUUGAUAACUUCCAAAUCUACAUAUCCAGUGUCUUUCCUGAGCUCCAGACCCAAGUUUUCUACAACUUUCUGAAUUUAGGUGAUUUACCAUGUUCAAUAUAUAAUUCUUUAUAUUGCCUCUAUCUCUAUCUCAAAUUGCUGCUUCUCCUAUUUUCUCUAUUUUGCUAAAUGACUUGUUGAUAUCCCAGUUACUCGGGCCAGAAACUUGGGGGAGUCAUCCUAGGCUCCUCCCUUAUUCCUACAUCAAAAUGGUCAUGAAUCCUGGGCUCCUCACUUUGUGAUAUUCCUGAAAUCUGAUUAUUUGCCAACACCACUGCCCUAGUUCAGCCUUCCAUCUUAUUUUCUACAUGUCAAAACCACCUGCUCAACUCCUCUAUUGGACCACCCCACGUGAGUCACCCAUCUUUCAAAAGUCUGAGACACAUAUUUUCUUAAUGCUCAAAUCUAUUCUUCAUAGAAAUAAUUCUUCAAUGAUUUUUCAUAAAGUCCAAGGUCAUUUAUAUAACACCUACAAGUCUUUAUAACCUGGCUCCAACCCAUGUUUCUAUAAUAGCUUCAUUUACCAGCAUCCUUCCACACCCUCCAUGUGCUAUGUAAACUAGUCCCAGUUACUGGAACUCAUUAUGGCUGCUUUCACAGACUGUCUUUCCUGCCUUGAAUGUUCUUCUCCCUUUUAUUUGCCUGGAAAACUCCAAGAGUCCAUGCUGUCUUGACUGUUCCUAUAUAAAGCCAUUUAUCACACCAAUGCCUGUUUCUUCUCCGAGACUAGGGCACAGCAGUUCAGUGGUACGAUCCUUUCAUCAACUAGAGCUCAGACAAAGGGCCUAAAAAAUAAUAGUUGCUAAUAAAUGUUGAAGGAAUUUAAUGUAAUGCGGCAAAUGAGAAAGAACAAAUGGAUACCAAAUAAAUUCUAAUCAUGGAUAUAAAUACCAGUUGAACAGAUAAAACGUAAGAAACACAGGCACACACAUCAAUUUCUUUAAAUCUGAAUUAUAUACAACUGCAAGUUAAAACAAAAUGUAACUCAUGUGUUUGGGGCUGUUUUUUCAUGUUACUAUUGAAAGAGAUAAACUAAAUGAAAACUUAAUGCUUCUUCCAAGCUAAAUUUUGAGUAAAGUAAAUCAACAACUCUUAGAAUUUUAUGGCUAAAAGGAGCUCAAAUCAUCAUUUAGUCCAACUCUUCAGUUUAGGAAAUUAGGGUGCUAAAGUUGUGAAUUACAUAAGAUCAUAUAGCUAAUUGGAAGUAAAUCUGGGACUAAAACCCAAUUCUCCCAAGCAAUUUUUUUCUUAUUUUUAAAUUUUAUUUAUGUAUUGAUUUUUAGAGACGGGGUCUCACUAUAUUGCCCAGGCUGGCCUCAAACUCCUGCACUCCAGUGAUCCUCUGGUCUCAGCCUCCCAAGUAGCUAGGACAAUAGAAGUGCUUAUCAGAAAAGGCUGUUCAAAGACCACUGGUUGUUUUAACUGCUGAAAGCAAGCCUGCGUCUUGGUAAGACUACUCCAGAAAGACCCCUACGAGAUGCUUACAUCACUGGUGAUGUCUCCCACAUAGCGGCAAUGGAUCACUUGGGGUGUGUAUGGCAGAGAGAUCAUGUGGCCCUGCAUCUUGAAGAAGUCUGAUUUGUAGAUCAACUAAAGAAAAAAAAAUACCCCAAAACAUAUGUAUUAGAGACCGAAUGAUUAACAUUCAUCCCUAGUCUCUACUCCCUGUCUUUCCUAAGAAAAUACCCACCUCA